GGGGAGUACGGCCGCAAGGUUAAAACUCAAAUGAAUUGACGGCCCGCACAAGCGGUGGAGCAUGUGGUUUAAUUCGAUGCAACGCGAAGAACCUUACCUACUCUUGACAUCCACGGAAUUCGGCAGAGAUGCCUUAGUGCCUUUGGGAACCGUGAGACAGGUGCUGCAUGGCUGUCGUCAGCUCGUGUUGUGAAAUGUUGGGUUAAGUCCCGCAACGAGCGCAACCCUUAUCCUUUGUUGCCAGCGAUUCGGUCGGGAACUCAAAGGAGACUGCCGGUGAUAAACCGGAGRAAGGUGGGGAUGACGUCAAGUCAUCAUGGCCCUUACGAGUAGGGCUACACACGUGCUACAAUGGCGCAUACAAAGAGAAGCGACCUCGCGAGAGCAAGCGGACCUCAUAAAGUGCGUCGUAGUCCGGAUCGGAGUCUGCAACUCGACUCCGUGAAGUCGGAAUCGCUAGUAAUCGUGGAUCAGAAUGCCACGGUGAAUACGUUCCCGGGCCUUGUACACACCGCCCGUCACACCAUGGGAGUGGGUUGCAAAAGAAGUAGGUAGCUUAACCUUCGGGAGGGCGCUUACCACUUUGUGAUUGACUGGGGUGAAGUCGUAACAAGGUAACC
rnacentral:rRNA from 1 species